rnacentral:rRNA from 1 species
GAGGAACACGUACACAACCUUCCUUCAAGCGGGGAAUAGCCCAGAGAAUUGGAUUAAUACCCCAUAAUAUAUUUGAUAAGGCAUCUUAUUAAUAUUAAAGCUUCGGCACUUGAUGAUGGGUGUGCGGCUGAUUAGAUAGUUGGCGGGGUAACGGCCCACCAAGUCUACGAUCAGUAGCUGAUGUGAGAGCAUGAUCAGCCACACGGGCACUGAGACACGGGCCCGACUCCUACGGGAGGCAGCAGUAAGGAAUAUUGGACAAUGGACGAAAGUCUGAUCCAGCCAUGCCGCGUGAAGGAUUAAGGUCCUCUGGAUUGUAAACUUCUUUUAUAUGGGACGAAAAAAGGGCAUUCUUGUUCACUUGACGGUACCGUAUGAAUAAGCACCGGCUAACUCCGUG